CGUGCGGUAACACUUCGGGUGACGAGCGGCGGACGGGUGAGUAACGCGUGAGUAUCUGCCUUUUAGUGAGGGACAACCCGGGGAAACUCGGGCUAAUACCACAUGUGUCCUACGGGAUAAAGCAGGGGAUCUUCGGACCUUGCGCUAAAAGAUGAGCUCGCGUGAGAUUAGCUUGUUGGUGAGGUAAAGGCUCACCAAGGCAACGAUCUCUAGCUGGUCUGAGAGGAUGAUCAGCCACACUGGGACUGAGACACGGCCCAGACUCCUACGGGAGGCAGCAGUGGGGAAUAUUGGACAAUGGGGGCAACCCUGAUCCAGCAAUUCCGCGUGUGUGAAGAAGGCCUGCGGGUUGUAAAGCACUUUCAGUAGCCAAGAUGGGAUUUUUUGUUAAUACCAAAAAGUCUUGACAUUAACUACAGAAGAAGCACCGGCUAACUCCGUGCCAGCAGCCGCGGUAAUACGGAGGGUGCAAGCGUUAAUCGGAAUUACUGGGCGUAAAGAGCACGUAGGCGGCUUUGCAAGUCGGGUGUGAAAUCCCUGAGCUUAACUCAGGAACUGCAUUCGAUACUGCAUCGCUAGAGUAUGUUAGAGGAUAGUGGAAUUCCAGGUGUAGCGGUGAAAUGCGUAGAUAUCUGGAGGAACACCAAUGGCGAAGGCAGCUAUCUGGAGCAAUACUGACGCUGAGGUGCGAAAGCGUGGGGAGCGAACAGGAUUAGAUACCCUGGUAGUCCACGCCCUAAACGAUGAGAACUAGACGUUGGGUAGCAAUACCGAGUGUCGUAGCUAACGCAUUAAGUUCUCCGCCUGGGGAGUACGACCGCAAGGUUGAAACUCAAAGUAAUUGACGGGGGCCCGCACAAGCGGUGAGCAUGUGUUUAAUUCGAUGCAACGCGAAGAACCUUACCUACCCUUGACAUCAUCAGACUUGUAGAGAUACUCGGUGCUUCGGGACUGAUAGACAGUGCUGCAUGCUGUCGUCAGCUCGUGUCGUGAGAUGUGGGUAGUCCCGCACGAGCGCAUCCUUAUCUUUAGUGCAGCGAUCGGUCGGACUCUAAGAGACUGCCGGUGAUAACCGAAGAAGGUGAGAUGACGUCAGUCAUCAUGGCCUUAUGGUAGGCUACCACCGGCUACAUGGACGUACAGAGUUCCCCACCCCAGGGGGGCUAUUCUUAAGCGUUCAUCGGAUCGAUCGGCCCUCCACCUGGAUCGAAUCUAUAUCGAUCACAAAUGACCGGGGUAUAGAUUCAGGCCCGUGCA
rnacentral:rRNA from 1 species